AACACUGUUAACCUGCGGUACCUGCGGAAGGAUCAUUAAAGAUUGACCGAAAGGUCUUAUCUCUAUAUCCCUCACCUCUGUGAACUGUGGACCUCCGGGUCUAUUUAACAAACAUCAGUGUAAUGAACGUAUAUAUCAUUAAACAAAACAAAACUUUCAACAAUGGAUCU
rnacentral:misc_RNA from 1 species